rnacentral:misc_RNA from 1 species
UACCAUAUCGAAAAAAUAGAUUGUCUAUAAAGAAUAUUACAAUCUACUAUUCACUGAUCAUACAUAUAUAUGUAAAUUUCUUCUGAACACAUGUGAACAAUAAUAUCCAAUUCUAAAAGUAAUUAAAAUAAAAAAAAUGGCUCGAGUCUUAGUUUAUAACCGUUCUGUUGAUGCAAUAUUUAUGGACGUAAACUUGGGAGUCAAGACAAAUCUUUCUGAACAUGGAACAAUAAUAAUAAAAGAAGAACCGAUCGAGAACGACAGCUAUGACGAUUUAUGGUUGAAUGAAAUUAAUGCCGAGAAUGAAAACGAAACAUCAAGAUCUGAAGAUUAUGAAAGCGAAGAAAGCAUAACUGAAGAUAAUAAAAUCGAAGAUAACAAAACUGCGAAUGAUAACAUUGAAGAUGAAGUUUCGAAUGCUAAUUAUGAAUAUAAAAAAUUUGUGCCUCCUCAAAAAUUCAAUCCCUUAAAAAAUAAUACAUCGAACGCUCGAUUUAUAACUUGCAAUAUUUGUUUCGUGACAUUUAACAAGCAAAGUUAUACUCGCCAUGUGCGUAGAUACUGUAACGGUGACUAUAAAUGUCAAAAAUGUAAGGCGAUCUUCAAUACUUAUCAUUCGAUCAAACGUCAUUUGAGGAUAAAGGGUUGUAAGAAAAAAAUUACAAAUUACAGAUUUCUUUGUAAUUUUUGUCGUCGAGGGUUUUGGAGAAAGGCCUAUAUCCAAUGCCAUUUACUUCAUGCGCAUGGAAAUGAAAUAAAUAAUAUCGAUAAAAUUCAAAUUGGAGAAAUUUUCAAAUCGUCAGAAAGGUCAACAAAUGAUCUUGGAGAUGUACUGAUCGUGGAAAAGAUAAACAGUUCAAAUAACGUAUUGUUUCCAAAACAGUUAAACAAUUUGACAGAUACGUCUAAAAAAGAGUUGAACAGUACUUCCCCCAAAUUGAACGGUUUAAAUUGUACGCAUUUGAAAAGUCAAUGCGAUACAGUUUCGAAAAAGCCGAGAAGUUUAAGUAGUUCGAGCCAGUUAAAUUAUUCAUGCGAUACACCCUCUAAAAAGAUGAAGCAAACCACUCUUACAGAUUUUAUUUCGUUUUAUAAAGAAAAAUCGAACAACGAUGACGUCAUUAUAGAGAAAGUCAUUGGUAUAAACAAUAAUUCUGUUAUUGAUGACACGAGUGAAUCACAUAAGAAAUUUGGUGAUAACUCUUUGUUGAGGAAUACAGAAAAUGUUCAAGCGCACAAGCGUACCCGAUCUCGUGCGCUUGACAAGAAUAAACCAUUUGUUCAGAUUCAUGUGAAUCCCCGCACUAUGAUGCUCUUAUUGAACAAUGAAAUAAAAAGUGAUCUUGAGAGUCUGGAAACUUCGUAUAAUAUACCCUACAAUCUUAGACCAUCCGGAGAAAAUACCUAUGCAUUACGUAAAUUUCGCGAUUCAAUGAAGCAUGACACUGCUUCUAACAAAGCGAAACGUCCCAUUAAAAGAAAAUAUCCCUGCAAUGUAUCUACGCGAAGAAUGUCUUUACGAAAUAAAAGUUUCAAAUCUGAAAUCGUAAUUAAAGAGUGCAAGAUCUAUCUGGAAAAAUGUGAUGAGAUGUUGAAACGGAGCAAGAUUAAAUCGGAUAAAGUCGAAAAUGUUUCUCAAUCUAUAGACUUGAAAGAAGAGAGAGAAAUAAAAACGGAAAAGGUUGAGAAUUCUAUUAAAACUGAAUCGGCAAGUGAUCUAUCUUUGAAGCUUACGUCAGAGAUAUUCAAAGCCGGAGCGAAUAAUUUAUCGAUUGCUAAAAAAGAGUCAAAUGUGUCAGAAAGUAAGAUAUCCCAAAGAUCGUUCCAAUGCCAUGUUUGCAAAAAAUUAUUCUCGUUAAAAGAGAAUUUGUACGAGCAUAUGAAAUUGUUUCACUCGAUUUACAUGUCGAGUAUAUGUAACGCACGCUAUACAUCCAUUAAUAAAUUAUUGAAACAUUAUUUGCGUCAACAUAUCAUGUUUAAGCGAAAAGAAUGUUGCGUGUGUUACGAGAAAUUCGACACACCGGUAUCGUUGAAACGACACAUGAUUGUGCAUUGUUUGAAAACCAUACGAUCCAAGAAAGACACUCUACCGGUUGACGUCGAGAUAAACUGCAGUUCAUCGAAGAAAGAAAAUAAGUGCAAAGGUUGUCACAAACGAUUUUGGCUCAAUUCGUGUUUGAAAGAACACGAGAAGGUGUGUCGUCGAAUGAAAGAUCUGAUCUGUAAACAACGUAGGCUUCAAGUAAAACGCUCUUUUUCGUUUCGAAAAGAAUCGAUUGGCUCGAAAUUUAAUGCGAUACAAGCAAUUUCUUCGAAACAAGUAUCAUCAGAGCAGAAAAUGAAGCCGAUAAAUUCGAUCACUAAGACUUAUAGUUCACCUCAUGUUCUGCCAUCUGUCUCACCCUCCUACUCUACCACAGCAGCAAGCAAAAAGAGAUUAGUUAACGGUGUCGCUUGGGUGAAGGGUUACAGAGUUGAGACAAGUGAUAAAACGACAUUUCCCUGCACCAUUUGCGGGAUACAAUUUCAGACGUUUCAGAAUUUGUGUAUGCACGAGCGUACCUAUUCCAAACCUGCCAAUAAAUCGUGCAGCGAUUGCGGUACCUUGUUUCCCUCCAAAAGAUUGUUACAACUUCACUCACUCGCGACCCAUUCGCCUUCUUGCGCGGAAAAUUAUCAAUUCUUUUGCAAGUUUUGCAAUCAAGGUUUCGUUAAAAAAACAAACAUUCGGAUUCACGAGCGACACUUUCACAUGGACCAAGUUCCCAAACCCGUUCGAGUCAACGAGUCCAUUUGGAAUUCGUAUCCGAUGUGUACCACAUGUAAUUUGUUAUUUGAAUCGUACGAGCGAUUUAUCGAGCAUAAUAUGUAUUACUAUAAUGACCAAAUGUUUGUGUGCACCGUAUGUGGUAAAUCGUUUCAGGGAAUGUACAAGCUUCACCACCAUAACAAGGUGGAACAUUAUCCGAACGACGUAUUGAAAUUGUACGCUUACAAAUGUGAUAUUUGUAGCGAAGGUUUCAAUUACGAGUCGCAUUUUCACGCGCACAAGUUGCAUGUUCAUCUACCCGAUGCGCCGAUUAUACAGAAAACACUAAAUAUCAUGCAAGACCACAGUUACGCUUUGACGAAUAACGUUGGCAUAAGGACCAAAGUGACGGAAGAACCGAUAAUAUUGUCAGCAAAGACGUAUACUUGCAAUGUUUGCAAAUUAAAUUUCACCAACGAAGAAGAUUUGUCGAUGCACAAGAUAGAAUACUCCACGAACGGUAAAUUUCAAUGUAGCAAGUGCAAUCGAAAAUGUGGUACCAGUUCUUUCCUAGCCAAGCAUGAUAGUUUGAAUCAUACCGGUUGUGACAUUAACAUCAGUUUCAAGUGUCGCUUUUGUGGUGAGGUGUUGACAACUAGUACAGCGAUGUUGUGUCACGAGAAGCACUUUCAUUUAAAUUGCAGCAGUGAUCUCAAAGACAGACAACCAGUUCAAUCAGUUAUGAAUAAGAAGAUUGAUAGCAAAAUUGUUAAACUUGAAAAGUGUGAUGGUUUUACGUGUUCGACUUGUAACAUGAAGUUUCACAACAACAUCAAUUUGAAGCAACAUUUGUUGGAAUAUGCCGAUAUAGGUACAUUCAUUUGCAACAUUUGCCAAAGAAAAUUCACCGAGGUGGAACAGUUAGAGGUGCACAAAAUCAAACAUACUAUGUUGAGCAAUACUUUGCUGUCGCAACGGUGUCCUAUAUGCAACGAAGGAUUUUCGGAUCCUGUGAAUGUUCGGUCACACGUAAUGCACUUACAUCGAUACGAAACGUUCAAUUUUAAUAUGGAGCAUAUAGGGACAAAAUGACGAAUUAGAAAGAGGGCAACACUGUGUUGUACAUGCUAGCUUAGGAUCUAAAUCUAAAAGUUCUAAUUGACGAUUGAAUUCAAAUGGAUCGCUUCACUUCUUCCUUCAUUCCUUGCGCUUGAAACGUGGCAAAGCCUAGUUUUAAAUGAUAUGGAAAUGUAUAAAUUCAUUAUUUAAUAUUGAAAUCCAAAUAUACUGCUCGUGUUCACGGAAUCGAUAGUAUCAGAUUUACUUUUCAUAGAACAUAUGAUGAUGAAUCAAUUCUGUCAUGUCAUCGAGAACAGAUUUCGCAUAUGAGUGAUAAAAAAGUGAACAAAGUGAAGGAAUUCAAAAUAUAAUAUAAUGUAUUGUUUGUUGGUUAUGCACUUAAAGAUUGUUACAAAUUUAAAAUGAUUUUAAUAAUUUUCGAGUAAUUAUGAUUUUGUUAUGAUAUUGUAUGUAUAUAAAUUUUAAAGUAAAACUUUUGACAGUUUACUUUUUUAUAGUGGACAUUGCAUUGAAAGUGAAAUUUAUUUUCGAAUAUUGAAUCUCAAUUGCAGAUUCCACUAUUGAAAACACUCUUAAGAGUUUUACUCUUAAAUGUUAAUACUUUCAGAUAUUCUGUUAAAUUAAAAGA